rnacentral:rRNA from 1 species
GAUGAACGCUGGCGGCGUGCCUAACACAUGCAGGUCGAGCGGCAGCGAGGGGUGCUUGCACCCUGUCGGCGAGCGGCGGACGGCUGAGUAACGCGUGGGAACGUGCCCCAAAGUGAGGAAUAACUGCCCGAAAGGGUAGCUAAUACCGCAUAUUAUCUUCGGAUCAAAGGAUUUAUCCGCUUUGGGAGCGGCUCGCGUCGGAUUAGGUAGUUGGUGAGGUAAUGGCUCACCAAGCCGACGAUCCGUAGCUGGUCUGAGAGGAUGACCAGCCAGACUGGAACUGAGACACGGUCCAGACUCCUACGGGAGGCAGCAGUGAGGAAUCUUCCACAAUGGGCGAAAGCCUGAUGGAGCAACGCCGCGUGCAGGACGAAGGCCUUCGGGUUGUAAACUGCUUUUAUAAGUGAGGAAUAUGACGGUAACUUAUGAAUAAGGAUCGGCUAACUACGUG